AGUGAACGCUGGCGGUAGGCCUAACACAUGCAAGUCGAACGGCAGCACAGUAAGAGCUUGCUCUUACGGGUGGCGAGUGGCGGACGGGUGAGGAAUACAUCGGAAUCUACUUUUUCGUGGGGGAUAACGUAGGGAAACUUACGCUAAUACCGCAUACGACCUACGGGUGAAAGUAGGGGAUCUUCGGACCUUGCGCGAUUGAAUGAGCCGAUGUCGGAUUAGCUAGUUGGCGGGGUAAAGGCCCACCAAGGCGACGAUCCGUAGCUGGUCUGAGAGGAUGAUCCGCCACACUGGAACUGAGACACGGUCCAGACUCCUACGGGAGGCAGCAGUGGGGAAUAUUGGACAAUGGGCGCAAGCCUGAUCCAGCCAUACCGCGUGGGUGAAGAAGGCCUUCGGGUUGUAAAGCCCUUUUGUUGGGAAAGAAAAGCAGCAGGUUAAUACCCCGCUGUUCUGACGGUACCCAAAGAAUAAGCACCGGCUAACUUCGUG
rnacentral:rRNA from 1 species